CUCUGCCCCUCUCUCCUACUUGUGCUCUUUCUUUCUAAAAUAAAAUUUUUUAAAAAAUUAAAAAAACAAAGGAAAUAUAAGUAAACUAUGUGGCCUUAGUUAAUAAUGCACCAGUUUUGGUUCCUUAAUAUUAACAAAUGCACCAUAUGAUGUAAGAUGCUAAUAGUGGAAACUGUGUGUAGGGGAGCACAGGUAACCCCCUGUAUUAUUGCCUUAAUUUUCUGUAAAUCUAAAACUGUUGUAGAAAAUAAAGUCUUUUAAUAAAAAAAUUAAUUAAAAAAUACACAUAUCCAGCUCCCACUCCCAAGAUGAUUCUGAUAUACAUCAAAAUAUGAAAACUACUUAUCACCAAAAUAUUCCAAAGCCAAGAGAAGGCUUGAAUUCUAGGCCUUUUACUGGGUCAAUAUAUAUUUUUUAAUAAACUAAAAAGCAAACAUAAGAUCUUAGCGAAUUUUGCAUUUUUAAAAACAUCUGUCUCCUCAGCUGGACAGAUCAGGUGCAAGAAGUUGCCUGAUGCUGGAAAGCGAAGCAGAUGAUAGCUUUGCAGCAGGGAGGUGAGAAGAGACAUCAAGGUUUUGAGCCUCCCACAAUUUAGAAGUAAGAGACAGCUGGUGGGACUGUUUGUUACUGUAUGAGAUUUGUGUUAAAAUUGUCACCAGCAAUAUGUAGUAAUAAAGAUACUCCUGACUUCAGGAGCCAACAGUUUCCAUUUUCACUACUGGCUGUUGAUUUUUGAAUAACAGGAUAACAAAACUGGAAGAGAUUAGAAGAAAUAAUUGGCUUGGCAUCUUCUUUUCUCUUGGGUAAAAGCAACCUAUAUAUAUUUCCCCUGCAGUAUUGUAAUGGAAAAUGGCAAUCUUAAACUCAUUCUUUUUUUUUUUUUCUUUAAAAAGCAAAAAGGUAAAAUGUAUCAAAAUUGUAGGAUAAAUGAUCUUGGGUCCCUAAGGAUGGGGAUUCCUCAAAGUGGCAACAUCUGAUUUAUAAAUGCCCUGUGAAUCUAGAAGAGGGAGUGGAGUUCCCAAGACAGUGGAUUAUCUUUCUCUUACAUGCUUGCAAAGCUCCAGACCAUUAAUUCUUAAGGUGUGGUCCCAGGACCAUCUGCAUCAGCACCAUCUGGGAACUUGUUAGACAUGCAAGUACGGAGGCCUCAUGUCAGACUUCCCACAUCUGAAAUUAUGGAGUGGGGUCCAACAAUGUGUGUGAUAACAUACCUUCCAAAUAAUUCCGACCCACAGUGAAGUUUGAGAACCACUAAUCCAAGAGGUGGGGGAGAAAUGGUCUUAGUACCACCAGUACCCCUCUUGCCACCUAAGCAACCUGGAGACUUCGGGAGGAUGGGGGAAGAACGUGGUUGUCUCUUUGCCCAAAAACCAUUUUUUUCCAUUCAAACAAUGUUACAUGUGCUGAUUAGGAUCUUAAGAAGGUCCACAGUAGAUUAUUUCAUCCACAAUGUGAGUGAAAUACUCAUACCAACCUAGUCAUCAAAGUUUAGGAUCCCGGGGUCCUGUCAUGUCAUUUUGCCAUAUCAGUAGUGCUAUGGCCUGCCAAGGGUGCAUUUGCAAUGAGGGUAACAAAAAUGCAAGGUUAAAAGGAAAUCACCACAUUUCCUCCAUUUUAAGAUGAAUAGUUUUCCACAGGUUAAUAUUUCUGAAAAAAAGAUAUACCUUACACUUGGUGUAUACAUUCAGUGUGGUGUUUCUCACCAAACCCUCUAAUACUAUUUUUAAAUUAAUGAUGUGUCUUACAAUUGACCCACCUUAGAAGUGAGAAAAUCUGGCAGUCAGAACGUGCUAUGAAAAGUGAAAAGAAUAGCCUCUGAAUCGUUUUCCCCUGUGAAUCUAGUAAGGACAGUUAGGAAGCAAUUUUAUUUUCUCUUCAUCAAACUCUAAACAUGAUACAUUUAAUAUUUUCUCUUUUUAAACUAAAAUUGCAUCCAAGGAUUUUACUUUAGGGCCAAGAUAAAAUAAGAGGGACUAUAUUUAACCCUUGUCUGAAAGAACUAAAAAAGUAGAACAAAAUAUAUGAAAUAACGGUUUUCAAUAUGUUUCAAGAUUGAAAUAUCUGGCAACAAGGAAUGGUGAUCCCUGAGGAAUGGGAAGGAACUGAGGUGAGCCCCAGGAUCACCCCAGCAGACUAACUGGGAGUCCUCAGGCCGUGGUGAAGGAAAGGGGGCCCAACUGCCAUCUGGAGAGGGAGAGAAGGUUCUGUGUCACAGUAAUGGUAACAUGAUGAGUCAUGGCCAGCACGAUAUGUUUUUGUCCAUUUGGAAUAUAUUUAAAAAUUAUUGGCCACAUAGAUUUCUUUAUUUAUAAUUUAGGUGUCAAGGUAUUUGUCAGGAAUGGACAUUAAUGGAAUUAAAUACUGAUAUUUUUAGGAAAGUGCUAAUACAUCAAUGCUAAAAUCAUUCUGGAUUUUAGAGGCAGCUGCAAAUGGCAUGAGAAAACUGGUUGUAGCUGAGUGUGAAUUGUGGUUCGUGUGGGGUGGGGGCACGCACACUCAGGAAACAGACAACAGCUGUUUGGUUGCAGGAUGAAGCAGGCCAAUUGGGAAUUAUAGAAUUAUUUCUUUGCCCAGACCUUACUCAGAACUUCCUGGCUUCUGCAAGAUUGGCUUGUGAUAUGAGUAAAUAGGAAUAGACAGUACUCUACCUGAUAGAAACAAGACUCUUUCGACAUGGUCUCUCUAGUUGGACUGAGCCACACAUGGUUUUGAGUGCCCUUUUGAUCUCACCAUGAAAGAUGUUCUUGAAAUGCGGAGCAAGGCUGUUUAUGCAUUGCAUCUGUAGCCUAUCAGGGGAUAUUUGCAACAGAAGCUGGGUAGGAGAAAGCAUGUGCAGAUCUGGAUACCAACGAUGAUCAUCUCUAGCCUGGAACUAACUAAAAACUGGAUGAUCUUGAGCAAAUUAAUGACCUUGAGACUAGACCUCAGCAGGGACCUAGUAAAUGGGAAUCCCUGGUUGUGGGAUUGAGCAUUAGUGAUUUUUUUUUAAGCAUCCUGGUGAUUCUAACUUGUUUCCAGGCAUGAGAACCACUGACUAAUAACUGAUGUGUAAGUUCCCUUCUAGACCUUGGGGUAUAAAUUGAAGCCUAAAUUUUGGCAGAUGACAAGGCUUUACCUGUCAUCUUGUGGUAGUUUGGUUUUGUUGUUAAUUUUUUUUCCAGUUAUGAUAAUUAGCUCCUGUAUCAGCAGACAUCUGUAGCCUUAAAUCCAGGAUCUGGAAUGAUCCAUCCAGCUGGGGCCUGCACUUCCCACCUCCCAGGACUAGCUGGAACAAUGUGUCAGUCUCUUACUGCUCUUCCCUUAUCAUUUUAAUGAACUUCCUGCAAUUUAAAAAUUGUGCUGGCAGUGUACCCUCUCUAGGCCAUUUGCUCAUUGCUAACAGCUGGUUAUCACCCUAAUUAGAAUGAGUGUUGACUUUCUUUUCAGCCCUGUAAUUUAGGGUACAGAAGCUGCCAAGUUGAGGUCAGUUUUGUUUGUGGGAUCUGAAUCUUACCAAAGUGACCUUGACAGCUAAAACCUUGUGUAGAUUCCCUAAGCCUAUUUCUAUCAUAUUAGAGGAUAUUUUUUCCUAUUACUUAGUCAUCAACUGUAACCAGCUAUGUUAAAAACUUAAAAUAUUCCACAAAUAAAUUAAUGAAAGAAUGAUAAUAUAUCUCCUUUGGAAUAUUAUUUCAUAUAUUCAUAUUAUUAUUAUUUCAUAACAUCCAGGGUAUAGAAUUAUGGAAUCCUGGAGGGGAUUUAUAGGAUGAUCAACUUCCUAUGGAAUAAGUGAAUCUCUUCUAUGAGCAUACAUCUGUCAUUCAAACAUUUCUAGUGACUAUAAUUUGUUGUUCUGUUCAUUCAUCAUGAUUUGUUUCUUACAAGCAUUUAAAUUUCAAUAUUUCUAAUACCUAUGCUGAAUUCAAGGAUUACACAGAUGUGGGGGAGGGGAAAUCAUGAUUUAUUUAGUUAGUGGGAGAAGAGUGACAAGAUACCAACUGUAGCAAUACAGUGAGACAAAUGCAACUAUAGGUGUAGAUUUUUCUGGAAGUCCCUUCACUGGGAAGUAAUUAAUUUUGAUUGGGACUGGGAGAGGGCAAAAGAUCAGGGAAGUUUCCUAGAGAAGAUGAUAUGUGAAUCAGGUCUUAAAGAAUCAGAUUUUUCAGGCAGAAAAGGUAGAGUGGGGAGAAGGUAAUGGGGAUACCAUAGAAACUCUCACAACUAAAACCUCAUUUUUAUCCUUGGUAUAGUUCUAAUUAUUUCUCUCUGUCCCCCUUUCCCUAAGACAAAGAACAGUAUGCAAUUUUGUUACUCAAAAUAUGGUCCAUGGACCAGGAGCUCGAAAGAAAUGUAGACUCUUAGAUCCCACCAGAUCUACUGAAGCAAAAGCCUCAGCUAUGGAAGGAGCAGGUCAGUCACAGAGGAGCCCACCUACUUAUUUCCUGUCACACAAUUGUCGCAUAAUUUCGGAGUAUAUAUCCACUAGUUAUCACUGGGAAAAGCAGAAGUUAGUGCUGCAAACCAAAACAAAUGCUUCAGACUCAGAUGAGCUGAUGGAGAUGGGCUGCCACAUCACACUGGGGGACUGACUCAGAGACGGGGAGCAGUGGGCAGGACCCCGCUCACAUGAUAACCCAGGCUGUUUCCCUGGCUUCUCUGUCACUUGGCUCCCUGUUGGAUUCAGCUAGUGGACAGACUGCAGCAUGGGAAGAACGGAUAAGCUGGGUGCGUUAGUUUCCUAUGGCCGGUGUAAGAAAUUACCACAAACUUUGGGACGUAAACAGCACAAGGUUAAUAUCUUACAGUUCUGGAGGUCUGAAUGAAGCCUUAUGGGACUAAAGUCAAGGAGUCAGCAGGGCCACCCUCCUUCUGGAAGUUCUUGUUUCCUUUCCUUUUCCAGUUCCCAGAGGCUGCCUAUGUUCCUUGACUUGUGGCCACAUCACUUCAACUGCUGCAUCCAUUGUCACGUUGCUUUCUCUGACUUUCCUUACUCCCUCUUGUGAGGAAUCUUGUGAUUACACUAGGUCCACCUGAAUAAUCUAGGGUCAGCUCUCCAUCUGACGACCUUUUACCUAAUCACAGCUGCAAAGUCCCUUUUGCCCUGUAAGAGGACAUGUUUAUAAAUCCUGGGGAUUAGAAUGUGAACAUCGUUGAAGGGGCCAUCAUCCUCCCUACCACAUCGGGGUUCUCCUCCAUACCAAAGAUGAUCUAGGCCCGUGGGCUCUGGUAAGGCUCCUCCUCCCUUAGUCCUUGUGGCCUAAGGGUGACAGUGGCUUCCCACUGCUGCUAAUUCCCCCGGUGCUGCCUUGUGCCCAGAUUGGCUAAUCAGCCUCUUUUUUGUCACCUGUGUAAAAAAUUCUCUUUGUUUGAAAUAUGGAAAUUUGCUUUCUGUUUUCCUGGUUUGACCCCGACUGAUAAGGUGGAGGGGUGAUACCUGGGUGCUGAUGGUCUCUGCUGGAGAUUGGGGCCGGGGGCACGUGGGGGAAUCUCUUUGCUUUGGGCAGUGACUUGAAGAUUAGCAGAAGCCUCCCUCUCUGGGCCAGGAUGUGCAGGCAAGGUGGAGCUGCCAGGACAGCAGUGAUUUGAGGUGUGUGGGGCCUCUGGUUGAGACCAGUCCAGUAUCUGAGCGCAGAUAAGAAUAGCUCCCUAACCAAAGGUUCUGGGCUAUUAAAAAGGACUAUUUAAGACAAGCUGUCGAAGCAUUUGUGGGAAGAGGCUUUAUUUCUGAAAAGUCUGAAGCUCUUCCAUUUAUUUUCUGCAUGAUCGUGAACAAAUGAUCUAGUUUCUCAGACUCACUGUCUUCAUCUGUUAAAAUGAGACAAUCGUACUUAAUUUCAAAGGUCUGCAUGUGGGUUCAGUGGGGGUGAUAUACAGGGUGGGGCAGGAGGAAUCACUAAAUAAUGUAAGUCUUCUGUUGGUUAAUUCUAAAAAUUCUGAGCACCUCCCAUGGGCUGGUUACUAUCCUAAGUUCCUGCUUUUGUUAAGUUUUCUGUCUGUUGUGAAGAUAGACAUUACUCAAAUAAUCACAUUAAUGUAUAUCUAAUUAUGAGCAUGGCUUGAUAGGUACGUGGUUCUUUGAGGACAUAUGAGAAAGAAGCCUGACUUUAACCAGGGCCUCAGGAAAGCAUCUGGGCUAUAAUUUGAAGGAUGAGCAAAAGUUAAUUAUAAAUGAAAUGCAAAGGGAUUGGGGAAACAGCAUGUACAAAGGCCCUGGGGUAGAGUGGCACAAUGUGUCCAAGGACAUGGAGGAAGCCCAAAGAGAAAAAGCAGUACAAGGUGAGGUAGAGGAGGCAGGUGGGGACAGACCGUGUAAGACCUUGGAAGGAUUUUAGUUCUUGUGAGAGAGCCCAUGGGGAGACACUGAGGGAUUUUGGGAAGUGCAUGUGUGUCUGUGUCUCAACAGCUUUAUGAUUUAGCCGAUCACUCUGGCUACUGCAUGGAGGACAGAUUGGAGAGGGUUGAGAGAAGAUGAGGGUAGACCAGUUGGGAGGGACUGGCAUGGCCUAAAUCAGAGGCUGGGUGAUGGCUUGGAUUAGGUGAGCACGAAGGGCAAAGGAGACGCAGGGUGUCAGCUUGCACCCGGGGUGAAUAGUGGUGCUGCUCUUAGAGGCAGAGGGUCCUAGAGAGAGCUCAUCCUGGAUGGGCACCAAUCAUGAAUUUGGUGCUAGAUAUGCUGAGUUUGAGGAGCUGGGGUAACAGCCAGGAGGAGAUGUCCCAUGAGCCACUCAGGAGAGGUCUGCUCUGGAGUUAGAGCUUUGGGCAUCAUGGGCUUAUAAAUAAUAACUACUUGGGCAUAGAUACAAUUGUCUUUCAGACAAGCUAACGUGUAAAGAGGGUUUAUUCUGUGCCAGGCACAAUUCUAAGCACUUUACUUGUAUUAACUCAUCUAAUCUCCAUAACUUCCUUUUGAGAUACUUCCCCUGUUUUACAGAUGAGGAAACUGAGGCAAUAGAGUGUUGCCAUACCUGCUUGAGGUAAAACAGUCUCGGAAUCAGGGUCCAAACCCAGGCGGUCUCCUGCACCAGUGUCAUUACCCCCUUUGCCAUACCGCCCCUCUCUGUCAAGGCUCAUAGCUUAUUCCUGGGACGGAGACUGUUCUAACAUACGCACUUUGUUGCAAAAGCUGUGCCAUUGGUUUUCAGGGAGGUAUAGGGAAUGUUGGUGUUUCUGGUUGCCAUGGUUUGCAUAAUAUACAUUCCUCACCUGCUGGAAUCCCACUGCCUUGAGUAGCAGCUGCCAGAAGCUGCAGAACAAACAUGUGCCGGCAGCAAAGCGAGGCACAUGGAGAAGAGGGUGAGGAUGAAGACAGGCAUGCGGCAAUUCCCCUUUCAAGCAAAAACAUGUCCGAGAUGCCUUCAGGUUGCCCACGGGUUCUGCAUCUCUCCACACAGGGAAUCUGAUAUGUGAAGAGUUAAGGCAUUGCCAGUGGUCUGGAGGCUGAGUCGUGAUGGAGCUGAGAUUCAAACCCAGGCAUUUUGCUUCAUUGCUCACAUGUUGUCAUCUUGACUACAAAUGAGGAAUCUUGCAGAAGGGGAGAUCAUGAACAAAGUUGGUAGUUUUUGAGAAGCUGCCUUUGAAGACAUGUCUAUCCUGUCUUGCUGUGAUCCCCCUCCCCCAACUUCUUGAGUUGCUUCUCUCUGGGGAGAUAUUAGAGGAGCAGAAUUCCAGCUUGGGAGAGAAGUGUAGCCCUCAGCAGCAGCCUGCUCUGUCCUGGACCAGCUAAGUGGAUUCCUCUUUGGGACAGAGAGAAGUCCGGUUUCUAUGACAAUCCAUGGCCGUUCUGCCAAGACUGCCAGCCAGGGUGCCUGGCAGUGCUAAUUGCUAUGCAGACAUCCGUUCAUUAGACUUUGACCUAGAAUUACUAUCAUCUUUCACAAGAAUUCUGGAGAGAACUACAGAUGCUGAGUGCUUUACUUCGGUUAGCCUAAGAUAAAAUACCCAGGAGGAGGUCUACUGUGAGUAAAAUAAGCUGUGUAAGAACAUGAAGUUCAGUUCCUGGCUCGCAGUCUGAAGCCCAGUAUAUGUUUAAAAUAACAUUAUCCUGGACCCGUUAGGAAGGACUUCUGCUCUCAUAAAUGGCCAAUGACCAUUUAUAACCCAGAAGAUUAAUUUAGACAACCAAGGCCAAGAAUGAAAAAGAAUGAAAGAAGUGAAAGAAUUUGAUUAAGAGUCGUCUGACACGUCCUCUCUUUCUCAUGCUCUGCUAAGUGAUUUGACCCCUUCUCGGAAUGACCUGCAACCAGACUUAAUUUGAAGAGCUCAGAGAUAACAAAUUGCCAAUAACCAGGGCAUUUCAUGGCUGGUCUCACUAGACUGGUGACUAAGCUAAUUUUCAACAGCUGGAAGGACUUACCUCUCACACAUAAAUCAUGUAUAGUUCAGACAUUAUGGAGAAAAUCAUUCUGAAAAACAAACAGACUAUACACCUUCUGUAAGUGAAGUGGGAUUUAGGAUUAUUGAGGAAGAAUUCUGAGACUUUAAUUGAACAUAUUUUUGUUUUAGGUCACAUUUUUAUUUGCUCAUAGUAAUUGCUUAUUGAUAACUAAAUAGAUGGCAUUUAACACGAUGGUUGUACUAGAUACUUUAUCUUCUUCAGCACUUUUGGAAUGAAUUUGUUUUAAAAUCAAAUGGAUCACACCA